rnacentral:lncRNA from 1 species
AGCGGUGGCUAUGUGCACACGUUCAAAUUUGCGUCACGACAUGUGCUUGAUUACAGGAGGUCAGACCGCCAUCGGCCGCUAUCAUCUUUGCGCUGCACCCUUGGCCAUCGAUGCUACUGCUCUGUAGAUAUAACAUUCAUCACUUCCACAGGUCACAAAAAAUGGCAAAAGGAAACCGCUUGCAGAAAUCAUGUAGGAUAGAUACAAAAAACAAUUACUUCAGGUCAACACCUAGAGGAUGGUCGGUGACCAAGAACAUCAUGUGUACCGUGGCCUCCGCCCUCCACCACUUAUCCACAAGAAAUACUGUUUGUUGUUGGGGAGAUGGAGAAGUUGUCGUCAGAAUGAAAGCUGGACCCCAACUGAUAACACAUGAACGUACCUCUGGAAUAAAAUGGAUCAUGCUCCUUUUGUAUUACAUCGGAUCCUCUUUUGUGUUUCUCAAAAGAUCUGCAGCAUAUUGAGUACUAAUUCUCAAAAGACUGGAUCCAAUCAAUGAGAGGAUGAACAACUACCAAUGGAGGCUGCUGCCGAGCGAGCUCCUUCUCUUGGAGGGUGAUGUAGUCCGCCGCAGUCGGUGUCAUGCCAGCCGUCGCUGUUGUCGCCGCAGCCGUGCCAGCCGUCGCCGCUGCCGCCGCAUGCCACAAAUGAGAU